UCCGGUUUGGCACCGGCAGUCUCCCUAGAGUUCCCGGCAUCACCCGCUGGCAACUAAGGACAGGGGUUGCGCUCGUUGCGCCACUUAACCCAACACCUCACGGCACGAGCUGACGACGGCCAUGCAGCACCUAACCAUGAGUUCUCCGAAGAGCACCCCGACUUUUCAACCAGGUCCUCAUGUUUUCUAGCCCAGGUAAGGUUCUUCGCGUUGCGUCGAAUUAAACCACAUGCUCCACCGCUUGUGCGGGCCCCCGUCAAUUCCUUUGAGUUUCAACCUUGCGGCCGUACUCCCCAGGCGGAGGACUUAACGCGUUAGCUGCGACACUGUGUGGCUUACCCUCCCAACGUCUAGUCCUCAUCGUUUAUGGCGUGGACUAC
rnacentral:misc_RNA from 1 species